CUUCAUAAACCGUGGCUCAGUUCAGAUCGUAGGCUGCAACUCGCCUACGUGAAGGAGGAAUCGCUAGUAAUCGCAGGUCAGCAUACUGCGGUGAAUACGUUCCCGGGCCUUGUACACACCGCCCGUCACACCAUGGAAGUUGGCCACGCCCGAAGCCGUUACUCCAACCCUUGUGGAGGAGGACGUCGAAGGUGGGGCUGAUGACUGGGGUGAAGUCGUAACAAGGUAGCCGUACCGGAAGGUGCGGCUGGAUCACCUCCUAA
rnacentral:rRNA from 1 species